rnacentral:misc_RNA from 1 species
AAGCGGUCGAGCGGUAGUUCUAUAGGCAAUGUUUCCCCAAGCAGUCAGUGUCGGAAAGUGUCACUGAUUGUGCAAGGAUAGCGCUUCUACGAUUCCUGUAGACCGUACACUCGGGCAGGAGCUUUGCCAAAGGGUCCUCAUGCCCCCUAAUAACCCCACAGUUUAAUGUGAGGCUCAAUGUAAUACAUUGGGUAAAAAAACCGAACAACUGUUAACAAUGGAUAUCUUGGUUCUC